rnacentral:misc_RNA from 1 species
AUACCAACUCCUCUGUAAAGAGGGUCUUGGACUUCGCCUCUGGGCGGGUCUCAAAAUCAGUGGCGGUGCCUUGAGGCUCUACGCGUAGUAAUACACCCCGCGAUAGAACCCUUAGGGUAUCUUGCCAGCAACCCCCAACUUCUUA